rnacentral:rRNA from 2 species
CAAAGGCAUGGUCCCGACCUUAUUAUCAGCUCUAACUCAACUUACACAUGCAAGUCUCCGCAACCCAGUGAAUAUGCCCUCAAUCCCCCCACCCGGGGACGAGGAGCGGGCAUCAGGCACAAACAUUAGCCCAAGACGCCUAGCCAAGCCACACCCCCAAGGGAAUUCAGCAGUGAUAAACAUUAAGCCAUAAGUGAAAACUUGACUCAGUUAGUGUUAAGAGGGCCGGUAAAACUCGUGCCAGCCACCGCGGUUAGACGAGAGGCCCUAGUUGAUAUUACAACGGCGUAAAGGGUGGUUAAGGAUAAACAAAAAUAAAGUCAAAUGGCCCC